CCUACGGGGGGCUGCAGUGAGGAAUCUUGCACAAUGGGCGAAAGCCUGAUGCAGCGACGCCGCGUGAGGGACGAAGGCCUUCGGGUUGUAAACCUCUGUCAGUAGGGAAGAAGAAUGACGGUACCUACUGAGGAAGCUUCGGCUAACUACGUGCCAGCAGCCGCGGUAAUACGUAGGAAGCAAGCGUUGCCCGGAAUUACUGGGCGUAAAGAGCUCGUAGGCGGGGGCGUGCGUCCGGGAAGAAAUCUCAAGGCUCAACCUUGGGGCUAUCUCGG
rnacentral:rRNA from 1 species